UUAAUUUUCCAUAUCCAUGUUUUGGUUUUCCUCCAUCCAAACAUCCCUUACAUUCUAUAGUAUCCAUGAUGAAGGACUAGUUUUUUAAAAACCUGUGGUCCAUUGAUGAGGAAAAAUUUACAAAGGAAACAAUUUCGGAAAGGAAAACAGGCUAAGGGGCUUGCCCCUCCUAUCAUAU